CCACAAAAAGAAAAAAAGAAAAAUAAAACAAAAGAAAAAGAGAAAAAUCGAACCUCAAUACAAAAAUUGAGGAAAAAGAUUGUGUGAGGAAGAAGAGAACAUUUUUCUCUUCUUUCCCUUCUCUUUUCUCUUUUCUUUUUGCUUCUCCUUCUCUUUCUCUU
rnacentral:ribozyme from 13 species